AAUUGUCGAGCUUGACAUUUUAGUCAAUUUGUACACCAGCAUGACUAGAGAUUGCACCACAGUUAAUGUCCUACACCAUAAUUAAUUUAUCUUGAAUUAUUUUUUCUAUUUCUCUUUUCAAAGCACGACAAUCUUUAGUACUGUGACCCUGAACAUUAGAAUGAUAUACACAUCGUACAUUAGGAUCAAAAUUUCUUAAAUGUGGGUCAGGGGUGUACCCAAGAAGAGG
rnacentral:lncRNA from 1 species